UGCCCGAUCGUCUAAUGGCAGGACAGUAGCCUUUGGAGCUAUUAAUCUAGGUUCGAAUCCUGGUCGGGCAUC
rnacentral:tRNA from 1 species